AUUGAACGCUGGCGGCAGGCCUAACACAUGCAAGUCGAGCGAGCGGCGGACGGGUGAGUAAUGUAUGGGGACUGCCCGAUAGAGGGGGAUAACUACUGGAAACGGUGGCUAAUACCGCAUACUAUCGGAUAGACCAUAUGGGAUUAGCUAGUAGGUGGGGUAAAGGCUCACCUAGGCGACGAUCCCUAGCUGGUCUGAGAGGAUGCUCAGCCACACUGGGACUGAGACACGUCCCAGACUCCUACGGAGGAAGCAGUGGGGAAUAUUCCGCAAUGGACGAAAGUCUGACCCAGCAACGCCGCGUGAGUGAAGAAGGUUUUCGGAUCGUAAAGCACUUUUGUUGGGGAGGCGGUAUCUAACCAAGAAGCCACGGCUAACUCCGUGCCAGCAGCCGCGGUAAUAC
rnacentral:rRNA from 1 species